CCCUUUCCAACCAACCCCACACUGCCUCCCCCUGCCUGUAGAAUUAAUCACUCCCUUUUCUAUGAACCCACAGAAUUUUGCAUAUACAUGCUUCUUUCUCUCUUACCAUGGUAUCAAGUAAGAUGUGCAGACCACUCUCUCUCACAAACCUGUGAGCCCUUCUGGGGCAGAGGUUAACGCUUAUUCGUAUACAAACCACCAGUAUCCAGGAUAGUGCCUGCUACAGAAGAGGUUCCGACAAAAUGAUGUUGGUAGCCAUGUGCAUUGGGGUUAAGAGGGGCUUUGGAAUCAAAGAGACCAAGUUUGGUACCUAGAAAAUACCAUUCGUUAGCUCCAGGACUUGCAGAAGGUUAUGCAGUAUCUCUGUGGUAGGUAGAGUACUAGCUCCUUCCCCCCAAACAUGUUCAUGUCUUACCCUUGGACCCUAGGGACCUGUAAGGGAAAUUCGGAUUGCAGAUGAAAUUAAGGUUGCUAAUCAGUUGAACUUAAAAUAGGGAGAAUAGUUCAGAUUACCCAGGUGGGCCCAAUACAAUCACAAAGGUCCUUAAAAGUGAAAGGCUGAGGCAGAAAAGGGGUCCAUGUGAUGCAACAUGAGAAUGACUCAACCCAACUUUGCUGGUUUUGAAGCUGGAGGGAGGUCAAAGCAAGGACUGUGGGCAGCUUCUAGAAAACUAGGAAAGACAUGGAAAUAGAGUCUCCCCUAAAGCCUCCGGAAAAACAUGCAGCACUGCAAACGCCUAGGUGCAAAUCAAAAAUUAUGUGUUACAUGACUUGAGAAGGCUUAAAAAGUAGAAAAGUUCUGAUUCUUUCUCUGGAGCACUAGGCCUCAAUGAGUUACUUUUCCAUGAAGAAUGUCUAGAAAAACUCAAUAAUUCUCAGUUUACCCUCCUGCAAGAGAUAUAUAUAUAUAUCUUUUGUUUUUAGUAAAAGAGAGUCCAUUUCUGAAAUCCUGAUAUAACAUAUUAAAUAUAUAUAUAUAUUUAAUAUAUAUAUCUUUUGUUUUUAGUAAAUGAGAGUCCAUUUAUAUCUAUAUAUUUAUAUCUAUAUAUAUCUUUUAUUUUUAGUAAAAGAGAGUCCAUUUCUGAAAUCCUGAUAUAACAUAUUAAAUAUAUGUUUUUAAUGAAUAAAUAUUUUUAAUAAAAAUGUAUAUUUAGUGAACAGAUAUAUCACCAACAAUGCCACCACCCAGAGUAAUCAUACUUGACGUUUUGGAGACUAUAAUUUUAGGGGUGUGCAUGUGUAUGUGUUUGUGUGUGCGUGUGUAUCUGGGCAUCUACAAACAUGGCAUAAAAUCUUAAAAUCUUUACAAGUUUUCCUCAUCAGGCACAUAACACAAACAGUCUUGCCAUUUAUUUUUCUUCUUUGACACCCCUCAGAAAAAAUUUGGAGUCUUUAGAAAGGUCUAACACAUUUCUAAUUAUAUUUAGUCUUCAAAAUUUUAUGUUUGUGUAGCUACUGUGAAGCUUUUCUAUUGCAUGUUCUAAGAGGUUAUUGAGGAUGUGGCUAUAUUUUUUCAUUAUGUAUACUAAAAUUAUCUUUCUGUACUCUCUUAGUUCUAAUAUUUUUUUUCAAUAAAUUCCCAGAUAUUUUCCAAAGAAGCAAUUAUGUUUUCUAAAAAUAAUGGUAGGAGUUCCCAUUGUGGCACAGCGGAAACGAAUCUAACUAGGAACCAUGAGGUUGCAGGUUUGAUCUCUGGCCUCCCUCAGUGGGUUAAGGAUCUGGCAUUGCUGCCAGCUGUGGUGUAGGUCAUCCUUAACCCACUGAGCAAGGCCAGGGAUAGAACCUGCGUCCUCAUGGUUACUAGCUGGGCUCGUUACCACUGCGCCACAAUGGGAAUUCUUUUUUAUUUAUUUUAAACAUUUCUUUUUUAAUAAUAAAAGCAUCAAAUGCUAUGAAUUUCCUCUGAGUACAGUUUUCACCAGAAUGUGGUGUAGUUAUCAUUAGUAUUUCCUAAGUAGUUUAUAAUUGCACUUUGGAUUUAGUCUUUGAUCCCAGAGCUAUUUAGGAGAAAUAUUUUAUGAGUUUUCCCCCAAACUCAAAAGCUUGAUCAUUUUUUUCUGUUUAUUUAUUUAUUUUUUAAAAAUUUCUAAAUUUGCUGGCUCUAUCACCAGCAUCUACCAU
rnacentral:lncRNA from 1 species